CCGGUGCUCGCUCACCUGGGGGGCGCCGGGGCCGCCGGGUGGCGCCGCGCGGGGGCCGCCGCCGUCUCCGCGCCCGGCAGCAGCAACAACGGAGUCAGCGCGGCGGCGGCGGCGGCGGCGGCUUUUCCUGUCCGGUUACGUUCGGGUCACAUGACCGGGAGCGGAGCACAGAGGCUGCGGCGAGGAGCCCCCGCCGUGGGGGAGGGGAGGCGGCGAGUGCUGUGGCGGCAGCGGCAGCAGCAGCGGGAGACACCCAGCCCCCGCCCCUCCCUCCGCGCCCGCCCCACCGCCGGCACCGGGCACGGGACCGGCCCUCCCGCCCUCCGGGCACCCCCGGACGAACGCCGCCGCCGCCCCCAUCCCAGCGGGGCGCACUGCCCCUUUAAAACUCCCGGGCGGCGGGGGCUGGUGUGCCCUCCGCCGCCAGCGCUGCGGGGAUAACGGGGACUGUGGCGCCGUGCGGGGCCGGGAUUGGGAUAGGAUGAGAUGGGGCGGUGCUGCGCCCGCCGCCGUCUUUCUGGCGUCCGCCCGGCCUCGCCGCGGCGGCAGAGGCUUCUCGGUGCCGCCGCCGGGGGCCACCGGGCGGCUCCCGUCGGGCGGUGCUUGGCGGCAGGCGUGGGAUGGAUGGAUGGAAGCCGCCGGGUUCUGACCCCGCGCUCGCUCCCGGGGAGGAGUGGCGGGCGCAGGUGAUCCUUACUGGUUGGAGUAAACCCAUUUUGGUGAAGACUCAAACAGCAGGAACUGUGUAGUGAUGGUUGUUAUCAAUUACACUAUGAAGGCAUGUGGUAGAUGAGGCAGGUGAAAGAUGAGUGUGUUCUCACAGCUAAAUCAGUUUUGUGUUGCUGCUGGAACUGAAGACUCAUCCUGCCUCUGCCAUAAAACUUCCUCCUGGUCAGGCCAUGCAUACACACGUGCACAGGCUCCCCACGGGAUCUCCAGUGUGAAGCAGAGAUUGUAGGCGGGGAGUUUCCCACGUGCUGCAUGGUUGCAGAGGGCUCUGCUCUCUGUGUAAUCGUGCUGUGAAAGCUCGUUAGGUUCUUGGUGCACUCAAUUUCCCAGCUUGCUUCUCUACAUGUAAUAGAGUAAAGAUAUUCUCAAACAGAUUACGGAGUUUGUUGCUAAAACAAAAGCCUGUCAUGCGAUGUAGUGUGUACACCGUGAAAAAAAUGGAUACAAAGUUUUAACAUACAUUAAAGCUUAACUGAACUUUUUUUAAAAAGCUGUGAGGAGCCACUCAAUAAGUGGGGUUGGGGGCUUGGCAGGAAGCAGAGAGUGUGACUUUAGUGGCUGUGAUUUUAUGUGCCAAGAUAAACUGAUCUACAGUUUCAAAAGUAACUGCGCUUCCCUUGUUUUGAGGUGGUGGUUGCUCUUACAGUCCAAAACAGAAUGCUUCAGAUCAUCAAGCCUAGACACUAUGCUUUCAAAGAACAUCCAGGAGUCCUCAAAUAUUUUUGUUAAACCACUUUUCCUGGUAAAUGCAGCUGGUCUGCAAAUUCACAUUUUAGCUAAAUUUACAAUUUAGCAAUACUGAAACUGUGAGAUGAAAUGGGAACUGAUGCUGAAUGUAAGUAUUACACGCAAAUGGGGUGGGGGGAAGCCUGAAAAAUGUUUGCUAGAAAAGUUAGAAUUAAAAUGUAACCCAAUUCUUGUUACUGGAAUUAAGUGGUGCUUGAUAAGUUUUUCUGCUGCAUAAAAGAUGUAAUGUCCCAUUACUUAACAACCCUGUGUAAGUCAGGCUAUUGAUGCAGAGCUGUUUGCACUGUACUACAAGACUGUCACCCAGCUGUUCUGCUGACUGAUUGAUUCACUUCCCUGAGCGGGGCUUCAUGCUUCAGACCUUCUCAGCAGUUCAGAGAAGUCAGAGUUGAGCUAUUCUAAAACCAAGACCUCGAGGCAGGAUCUGUUCUGGUUCCAAGGAGAAAAACCUUCACUUAAGAGUAGUUGCUGCUUCUUAAGCAGCUCCUGUGACACUGUAACAUAAUUUAUGGCAAAAGGAUGGGUUUGUAGUCAGACGUUUUUCCUGUCUCUGCCUGACUUUACUCUUUUCUCCAGUGGCUGUGUUUGACAUAUUCAACAAGAGUCCAGUAUCACACUCAGAAAUACUGCUCUCAGGUGAAGACAGAACAGUAAGCUACUGCAAAUGGAUUUUGCACUUUUAGCCAGAAUUCAGUCAUUGCAGCUUGUCCAUGAUGCUGCAGAUGCUUGUAACAACAUUUUUAGGUUAUGUUCCUGAAACAAUACACUGGACUAAAGUGACUUUGAAAAAGGUGAUAAAACAGCAGUUGUGUCAUAAUUCCUGAAAACACAUUUAGAAAGAGAAGUUGCUGGGGAAAAAAAAAUCCCUUCAUCCUCUCAUGAGGAAGUGGUAAUAUUCUGUAGACUAGGAAUAAAUUAAAAAUAAAAAAAGAAACUUUUACCUUAGAGGAUAAUUAAGACAUCUUACCCUAUGCUAACUCCUUGCAACUUGUAUUGAUAAAAAUCAAAUAGCAUGAUAAGGUGAACAGAGAAAUUGUGUGAAUCUUACUUUAGUUUAUCAUUCUGCUACAGCUUCCUGUGACCUGAGAUAAAGAUCAACUCCAUUCCCCUUUCAUAUGAAUACUAAAUGUAAAAAAAAGAAUAGAAGUAGUACUAAAGAAAUGUAAUCCCAUACAAGUAUAUAAACACCUUUUUCUGAUGGGAUAGAACAUAACGUUAGAUAUACCUGCCACAUAUAUUAAAAUCAUGCCAGAUAACUUAAGGAGAACAAGUAGUAGUGCCAUUUCCAAGCUUGGGACAGUGUCAUGGCUGUACAAGAAGGAGCUGGGGAAAAUCAGGGAAAAUAUUGUCAGAAAUGCACAAAGUAGCACUCAGUGUCUUUUUAGUUGUCAAGGGGACAAGGCAGUAGAAUCCUUCACCAAAUUAAUACAGGGAUCCACCCUUCUGUCUUUGCUUAUUAAGACAAAACUAAACCUCUCUCUGCAUUACUCCUGCACGUGUCUGGGUCCACUCCCUAGAAAAGUUCCCCUAAAAAUGCAUCUCAGCUUUACACUAGCACAUUGAUAGAUUAAGACCUCUCUAGCGUCACUAGUACAGCAGUUGGGAAUGAUGUUCACAGACUGAUUUAUUAUUUUUCGGUUUUUAUUUUAGUAGAUUUACAGAUUUAUCAAGAGACAUGAUUUCACUCUUUUCCAGAAGGAUAUGAUAGGAAUUUUCCAGGCUGUAUGGUCUUAAUGAUUUUGUCAGUUUUCUUCCUGAGUUUCUUCUGUCAUCAGAAAACUACCCUUGCAAGUUCAAACAGAACCUGGAGAACAGCAAACAGUGAUACAAAUUUUUAUUUGACUGAAUAAUCCUUAAACCAGUUUACGCUGUAGAUCAGAUAAUCUGAAAAAUAACUGUAGCUGCAAUUUGAAAAGUUACUUGCAAAGAACUGAAGACUGAUCCCCUUGUACAGUACAUCACAUUACUAAAAUAAUCUUAAUUCUCGAAUUAUGAAGUAUAUAAAUUGCACUUGUUAUUACACGUUCAGUGUGACAGUGAUAAGAAACGCUACUAACCUCUAUGGUGAUGAGUAUUACUAUCAUCCACUCAAGGCGCAGAGCGUGCUUUUCAUUCAGGUGAUUUCGCAUUAGAUCUGUCAGCUCCAUGCAGUGUUGGAGCUUUUCAUUCAUUACCUGCAAGCAAUUACAAACAUGUGGCAAAUCUGGAUUCCAGAAAUGGAAUGAGAUCACUAAAUAUGGGAACACACUCCACAGAAGAGCUCAGUGAACAGAACUAGAAAGCUGUUAACACCACUGCAAAAUAAAACAGAAAGCUCUGUAAGGGAACAUGCACAAGCAAUAAAAGUUUCAAUAUAAAUGAGCCUGUUAUUUCAAUAGGUUCACAAAAAUAAUACAAAUCUAGAUAUGCAUUUGCAGGUACUAAAGUGCUUCUGGGUGAUAUCUACUCAUGAGAACAGGCACAAGCAAAAGAUGAUGCAGCUUUUUGGAAUACCUCCAAAGUAAAUACUUAAGGCUGCUGUACCACCAGAAGUGGUAGUUUUUGUGCUUCUUAUUCUGGUUCAGCAGUAAGCAUUAUGUUGCCCUUCAAGAACUGACCUGAAAGACCAUGUCAGUAAGAAGAAUGCUUCGCAUCUCAUUAUUAUUUAACCUGUUUUCUUGCACACAUUUCAGAAGAAGACUUUAAUCUCUUCUUGUAACUCCUUAAAUCCUAAUUUAGUGGCUCAGGAAAUACACAAUCCAUUCAUGUGUGGCAAGUUAGCCUAAACUGGGUAAAGGUGCAAAUGGGCUAUGAACACAUGGAAAAGGGGACAGCGUAUAGCAUCCUAUUAUUUAUUCAGUUUCUCCAAUUAAUAGAGACAUUCAGGGAGCAGUCUGUGGCCCUGCUGAGCCAAAGAUGACUGAUCUGAGCAUGGAAAGUUCUCGUAACAGUAAGACACCUACCUUAACUCUGCGAUUAAUGUUGAGAAACUGGCACGUCCUGUCGUAAAGCUCUUCCAGUUUUUCUCUAUCCCAGUAGAAGUCAGGUGUUAUUAGCAGGUCUGAGCUCAGAUUUAUACGGUGUCUAAAAAGAAUGGGUACUAGUGUGGUUCAGGCUUCCUUUUGGUGAAUAUAGGAGCAAAUAUUUACAUAGCAGUCAAAAGAAACAGAAAAAAUGUCCUGUAAUUUUGAGUAAAAUAUGAAAAGAAUCUUCUUUCAGAGUAAAAAUACAAUUGCAGUGAUUGUUUAAAAUUGGUCACAUCUGAAACUUUUCUGGCGAUACUGUACUGUGAAACAGUUUUGAACAUAAAUGACUUCUGCCUUAUAGCAACAUUGCAUCCUCAACCUGUCACCUUCCUUAAUUUUUGAUACCUGCAAAGAAGUCCUUGACUAUGCUAGUAGCUCACUGAAAGAGUACACGAAAUAAAAAUAAAUAACUUCUAAAUGUGACUGGUACUGCAUGCUGGAUGUGUGAGCACAGCACACCCUUCAGAACCAGGCUACAGUCUCAGCAUCAUAAAGGCUAAGAGCUAAAAUCUCCUGCCUUCAACCUACUGCUAAAAUAAACCUUUGGAUAUUAGGAAUAUCACUGUUUAUUACUGAAGAGUCCUUCAAGUUAGGAUAUAAACCCCAGUGUUUAAAACAGGAAUUGCUUUUUAAUUUAACUUUGAGGGUUUUUUUCUUUUUUUUUAAGAGUAUGUAAUGCUCUGUAUUGUCAAUGGCCAAAUUUCACUUGAGGGAGGAAAAACUAUUAAAUCUGUACAUUUUAGCAGUGGUUUCUGAGUAAGUCAAGGGAAGACCAGAAUUCACAGAAGAUCUACCUACCUGUAUUUCCCCCGGUAUCCUUCACAUGCUCUAGUAUCUACAGUAAUUACCAGUUAAGAGACAUGCAUUGCUGGACCUAGGGAGGGAAAAGGGUCUGGAAUUUGGUCAUUUACGAUAUACUGCCUAAUGCCUGUCUAUAGUUGAAAUGCCGUAAUGUGAGUGGUGAGCCAGUUGGUCUUCUGACUAACAUAAACAGCACAGUCUCCAGCCAAGAGAAGUUUGAAGGAAUUCCCCCACCCGCUGCCCCAUCCUGCUCUAUUUAGUGUGUAGUCUGGUAUCACGCACAACAUAGAUUUUAAGUUCCGUGUAAUACGUCUUGGGUGUAAUCAAAAAAGUUACCUUAGUGCAAAGAGUUCUCCAAUUUUCUGCAUCACAUCUGCAUGAGAGAGUUUUACCUUCCUUCGUGACUUAAGAAUCUGCAAAGUAAGAAGUUCUUCACUGCUUGAUCAAGUAACAUGUACUAGCAGUUAAGAAGCCCAGAAUUUUACAGCCUGAAGUAGGAACAUGGGUUAAAAUCUGAAUGCAUACUGUCCUUAUUAACAUUUUAGUUUUGUUUUCUUAGUGCCUUGGUUAUCUAGCUUUCUAAGAAUAUCACCAUGCAACUGUUCAUCCAGGUUUUUCAAUAAGUCACUGAGUAUGUUAUCAGUAUCUAUACAAAAUCCUGAAGCAUUUUCUAUGAAUGAUUUCUGAACAAGAGAUCAUUUGGUUUUCUUCCUACUAUUGUUAAAGUCAUGACAGUGUUCUUUUACUUUGUCACUAGUUAACCUUUCUGUAGACAUUUUCCUUACAACUAUCAACAUAUUACCAUUUAUUUCCUUCAUAUAAAAAUAAUAAACCCAAUAUUUUCUCUUUUGAA